rnacentral:rRNA from 1 species
UACGUAGGUGGCUAGCGUUGUCCGGAUUUAUUGGGUUUAAAGGGUGCGUAGGCGGCCUAUUAAGUCAGUGCUGAAAUGUCCCGGCUUAACCGGGAGGGUGGCAUUGAUACUGAUGGGCUUGAGUAGAGUUGAGGUUGGCGGAAUUGACGGUGUAGCGGUGAAAUGCUUAGAUAUCGUCAAGAACACCUAUGGCGAAGGCAGCUAACUAAGCUCAAACUGACGCUGAGGCACGAAAGUGUGGGGAGCAAAAAGG